UACGGGGGGGAGCAAGCGUUGUUCGGAUUUACUGGGCGUAAAGGGCGCGUAGGCGGCCAGCACAAGUCAGUUGUGAAAUCUCCGAGCUUAACUCGGAACGGUCAACUGAUACUGUGCGGCUAGAGUGCAGAAGGGGCAACUUGGAAUUCUUGGUGUAGCGGUGAAAUGCGUAGAUAUCAAGAGGAACACCUGCGGCGAAGGCGGGUUGCUGGGCUGACACUGACGCUGAGGCGCGAAAGCUAGGGGAGCGAACGGG
rnacentral:rRNA from 1 species